rnacentral:lncRNA from 1 species
CUCAUACACAUCUUGACCACAAAAGUCUCAACAAUUUUGGAAGAAAGAAGCUGGAAAACCACUGUGGAGUUUGAAUCCAUAGAACAGUAUCAUAAUAGUAAUUAAAUUUUGUUGAACUCAAAUACCUAUUUGAGGAGAGCGAAAACUCCUCACUCCAUUCUACAUAAUUACUCACUGUUAAAGCAAACCCAGCUAAUCGAUGGGCUACAACAUUGCAACGACGCAAAACAUACUCAAAUUUCACCUACAUAUUGAUCAGCCCACACAUUUACGUCCCCGAUUGACACCUAGAGCAGGGGACUCAUGCUCACUUCUCUUAACUGCAGCAACCACCAAAGCUGCAUCACAUUCCAGCACCACCUUGGACUGACCAAGAGAUAACGCCACCUUCAAGCCUUCACCAAUUGCCAGCGCCUCAAUAUGAAGAUUUUCCAGUCCAAGUAUAUAAUAUGGAUCAUAAUUUUUUUGUUUGGUUACAUUAAUUAGUAUAAUUUCGAAACCAAAUAGAAUUUGAAGAUUUUCCAGUCCAAGUGCAAUAUGGAUUUGUUAAUUCACAUAAUUUUUUUUGUUCGUCUAAAUUUAUUAGUAUACUUCCGAAUCCUAGUAGAACUUGAAUUUUGUACUAAUCCCUAUAAAUACCCUAGCUUAACAUGAUAAGAUUGUUAUUCUCGUAUACUCUGUAUCUCGCUACAUCGAAACAUAAGAGUUUCAUUGUGUUUUUAUUCUUAGUGUUUAGACGCUCCCAUCAAUAAAGCAGAACAAUGACUCAUAGCUUUGGAGACACCAUGAGUUUCGACCAUGGAGACACCAUGAGUUUCGACCAUGGACACACCAUGAGUGUCGACCAUGGACACAGUUCGAGUUACGGUGGCCAUGGACACAGUUCCACUCACAGCGGCCAUGGACGUGUUCGACCUGUGGAGCAUCAUCAUCAUCCCGCACCAAGCAGUGCGGAGUACUUCCAUGUACGUGUUCGACCUGUGGCGCAUCAUCAUCAUCCCGCACCAAGCAGUGCGGAGUACUUCCAUGUACGUGUUCAACGUAAGAAGCGUCAUAAUCAUCCCGCACCAAGCAGUACGGAUCACACCCAUGUACAUGUCCACCAUAAGAAGCGUCAUCAUCAUUCCGCACCAGGUAAGUCACCUAUAAUUAUAAAUUUGCGACAUGUAGUAUUUGUUUGGUUUAAUUGAAUAAUUAAUUAAUUCCUUGGAAUUUCAGGGAUGCCAGAACAAUAUCAUCUUCCAGUACCGUCCGCCUUUCCACCUCCAGUGGUACCACCACUUUCGGUUACCCCAAAAAAGAAAAACAAGGGCGGCUUCCUUAGCGGCUGGUAUGUCUGAUUUCUAUGAAAGCCUAUUGUUCGUCAAACUGAAUAUUUGUAUAUUUCAUGCUUCAACUGCACAAUUAUAUAACUCCCUCACAUCAUCAAGUUUAUUUAUCUUAUAUUAUUAUUAGAUAUUUGUUGAUCCUGGUCAUGCUUAUAGAAAGUUGUUGAGAAUGAAUUCACAUUGAUGAGAUGAACCAAGGAGGGACCUUGCAUGUGCUUAUAAGGAGUUGUGCAACUCCCUAUAUUGCCAAUUGAUUUUAUGGUAGAACCUCAACCUUUUUUCAUGUUAUCAGAGUAGGUUGUCCCACGUAUGAAGCUAAACGACCACACAUGCUCCACAUCACCUGACUUGUGUUGUCCACGUGUUAGUCUUGAAAAUUCAAGUGUAGCAAAUUUUCAAGUCUAACACGUGGACAACACAAGUCGGGUGAUGUGGAGCACGUGGGGCCAUUGAGCUUCACACGUUGGACAACUUGCUCUGAUAACAUAUAGAAAGUUUCAACUAAGUGUCAACUUGAUAGGUUAUUGAUAUGAAUAGGAUACAUUAUAUACAAGUCAUUAACUUGGAGUACAAGUAGUAUUCCCUUGUGACACAAACAAUAUAAAUACAAAAUCUGGAAAGAUAAUUACAGAAUCAAAACCCAAGUGGAAAGAGAAUCCAAUAAGAUUAUUCUUUCCUAACAAUGCUUUUGUUAAAUCUUACCUUAAUUAGGUCAAUUACUGCAUAUGUGAACAGUAACCCAACAAUUGUAAUCUGGGAGGUAUAAAAGUAGAAUAAACCGACUGAUCCAAUUUAGAGUUAGCUUAAGACCUGAACCUCAAUUACGCUUGCGCCACUUUAGACCGUAGUUCAAAAUUGAUCCAGUUGAGCACAAAUCUUUGAUAAAUUUUUCAGGGACUUGUCUGCCCUCCUAGUUGUGGUGCCCUUCCAUGCUCUCCUAUUUUGUGCAGUCACGGUUAAGCCACGUCAAUAUUUUAUAUUAAUUUUUUAAUGAGAUAAUAAGAUAAAAAAUAAUAAAAAUAUAAAAUAUUGACGUGACUUAACCAUGACCGCACAAAAUAGGAGGGCAUGGAAGGGCACCACAACUAGGAGGGCAGACAAUCUUGUCCAUUUUUCAGACCCCUUACCGAUAUUAUUCCAAAUUUGACCCUUAAUAAUAAUAUAUUAAUAGUAAAUAUCCGACAUAUAAACUAUAAUAUUUUCCAAUCAUAUCAUUGGAUUCAACUGAAUGCCCUAUUUACCUUGGCAAUUCCAUGCAUUAGUUUCUGUUGAUGCCAAAAUUUGACACCUUCAAAUACAAGACAAGUGGCUGGGCCAAAAGGGCUUGGGAUCUUUGAAUCUUUGAUUGAAAUAAAUUAGUUGGUUUUGGUGUUAGUUUCUUUUAUCUCCCUCCUUUUUUUUUCCUGGGUCUGGAAAUCGUUUUCUUUCAUCUGAUUCUAAUUUCUGAGACAUGUCCUUCUUGUUGUUUACUAUCUGCAGUAUAGCUGCCCUUUGCUGCUGCUUCUUGUUGGAGAACUGCUAGCUGCUUCUUGGCAAAGGAGCCAUCACCUUUUGUAUACAUAUAUAAUUCUGGUUUUGUCAUUGGAUUUUGUUAUUUCUCUGCAGUUGGAUUCUUAAGACUAGAAUUCUAUCAAUUUUGUACAUAUAUAUUGUAUAACUUUUAACUCGUUAAAGUAGUUCGUGAAAUUGUAAUAUUUACUAAGAAGUUCAUAAAUUUUUAGAAUGGUUAUUUUUUUUAUAUAUCAUUUUAAAGUUAAUCUCAUUACGUGAGAGAUUUUUUUAGUGUACCUGAGCACCAUGAUAUAAUAAUUUUACUAGUUUUAUAAAACACAUUUGUUGUAGCCCUUAGGGGUGGGUUCAAAAAACCGAAAACCGAAAAAAACCGAAAACCAAACCGAACCGAAGCCGAAAAAAACCGAACCGAAAAAAAACCGAACCGAACCGAAUCUGGUUGGUUCGGUUUCGGUUUUUGAGGUCCGGAAACCGAACCGGACCGAACCGAACCGAAAAAAAAAUCAUAUAUAAAUUCUAAAAAAACAUGUAGGCGCCGGGGUUUGAACCCCUUCCCCAUAGCUUAGGAUUAGUUGCUGCAAGCCAACUUGACUGUGGGCUUUGAGUUGUUAUUAUUGUACCAAUAUAAUAUUUAUAGGCUUCUUUUAUUUAAUGCUUUAUAAAAUUUCUUAAACUUUACAAACCCUAGCCGUCUCACACUUUAUCUCACUUCCCAUUUCAGAUUUCAAACACUCCUCCGCUGCGUCCUCUCUCUGCCUUUUGCUUCCUCAGCCCCCCUCUCUCUCUCUCUCUCUCUCUCUCUCUCCUUCCUCUCUUCCUCCAAAUCACUCUCUCUCCAGUCUUCUCAUGUCCUCCUCACGGAUUCCUUUUUCCAAACCAUGAUUUUCCCUCGCCCCUUUCGAAUCAGAACCCCCUCUAAAUUGGAAGAUUCGAAUCCGGGUUUUCCGAUCUCUCACAGGUAAUUUUCGAAUCAAAACUAAUAUGAUUUAUAAUUUUAUAUUGUGAUUUACUGAAUUAAAAUGGGUUUUUCCUUUCAUUAUUUGUUGGGAUUUGCAUGUUAUAAUCUUUGCAGAUUUGUUGGGAAUUUAUAUUGUAAUUUUCGUAUUCAUUUGCAGAUUUGUUGGGAUUUUAUAUUGUGAUUUACUGAAUUAAAAUGGGUUUUUCUUUUAAUUAUUAGUUGGGAUUUUGCAUGUUAUAAUCUUUGCAGAUUUGUUGGGAUUUGGGAUUUUAUAUUGUAAUUUUCGUUUUCAUUUGCAGAUUUGUUCCAGUUCGUAUUCAUUUGCAGAUUUCUUCCAGUGCAGAUUUGCAGAUUUGUUACAGUUCAUAUUCAUUUGCACCAACACCCAAUAAGUUUCUGCAUCUUCAGUGCUCGCAAUCAAUCGUUGCAGAUUUGUUCCAAAUUAAAAAAAAAAAAUAGUAUGGAAAAAACCGAACCGGACUGAAACCGAACCGAAAAAAAUCAAAACCGAAAAAAACCGAACCGAAAAAAAACCAAAAAAAAUUGAACCGAACCGAACUGAACCGAAAUUUCGGUUCGGUUUCGGUUUUGACUAAAAACCGAACCGUUUCAAACCGAACCCAGCCCUAGUAGCCCUAUUUAACUGAAGAAUUAUAAAAAGAGAGGGUACAAAGAGAAAUUUAGUGAAUUAUGAGAUGUGUUUGAUCUCAACCUAUUUUGUCAUUAUGUAAAUUCUUUACCCUUUAGAUAUUACAACUGAAAUAAGACACUAUUUAAAAGAACGGCAACACAUAAUACUUUCUCCAAUUUUUACUAAAUUGAUAUCAGUUCAUUCUAUAAUUGUCAGUGUUUUAAAAAAUGCGCCCCGAGGAGCGCCUAGGCGGCUUUGGAGGCGGAGCGUCGGUGAAAUUGCCUUUGCCCAGUGAGAGAAGGUGAAAACUUGCCUAGACGUGGUGGAGGCGAGCCUAAGGCGGUCAAUCGGGCGUCGUUUUUGUGUAAGAGCUGCUGGAAUCUGGAAAAUUUCGGUUGAAUAUGGAAGUUGCAGACGCAGCAAUGCUGCGUGAAGAAGAUGAAUAGCACGGCGUCGUUUGCUUCGCUUUCAUUUGCUUACUUUUUAUUUUUUUAAUAUUAUUUUUUUGGCUGAUUCUUUUUCUCUUUAAAGUGACUUUCAGCAGUCCAACAUCCCAACUUCUAGCAUCCAAAGCAUAUGCUCCCAACAUAUUUAUAAAAUUUAAUAUUAUUUUGUAGAUUUCUAAAGACUCAUUUCUAUAUAAAUAUGUUAUAACUUUAUAUUCCUUAAUAAGUAAGUGGCCAGCAAGAAAAAUAAGUAUUUAUUUGUUUUUGUUUUUGUGUAAUGCUAUAUUUGUUUUCUUUCUUAAAAAUUUAUUCUUAUUUUUUCUUUUACGACUCUUAAGUAUUCCACCAAAAUAUUAUAUAAAAUAUGUAAUUAUAUAUAGUUUAUACUAAAAAUCUUAAGUCUUGUGAGGCUUCGCCUUACGUCUCAAGGCUUUCGCCUAAGCGGGGCUAUCCGAAGAACGCCUCGUUUACGCCUUAGCCUUUUAAUACAUUGAUAAUUGUCAUAUUAAUUUGAACCAUUUUUCUUUAUCAAAUUAUCCCAAGAUCAUUUCUAAAUUAAAUUUUUUUUUAAAAGGGAUAAGCUGCGAGUUUCGUCAUGGAAAUCCACUAUUUUAGAGGCCAAAAAGACAACAUUUUAGCCUCUAUUUUGAAGACUCGUUAUUUUAUAUGAAUUCAAAACUAUAAAAUAAUGGUUAUUUGUUACUAUUAAUUUCCUCGAACAUAUAAAUUGGUAAAACAAUGUGAAGGAGCAACGAGCAAGGACCUCUUCCUAAGGAAAAAUGUUUUAUUAUGUUCUAAACACGAGUGAUAAUUCACGUGUUAUUAUAUAAGUGAUGAUAAUUUAUUUUUAAGUUGUUUAUUUUUUUUAACACUAUUCCACCAUCUAUGUGGUCCGAUCACACAGAAAAGAUUUCUCAUUUUUAAGGAUGGGGAAGAUAUUAUCCAAGUCAAAAGACAUGGAUUUGGAUGACAUGAUAUUUAGGGGUAAAGUGCACGUUGUCAUGUUUAUCUCCGUUGUAAAUUGGGUCAAUUGCCAAGUUGCGAUCCUUCCAAAAAGGGUAAUGCAUGGAAGAUGACAGUUGGAGAGCUAUGCCUUCGCCAAGUGUCAAUCUUUUUUUCAACCGACUCAUUACCUGUAAAACCCCUCCCCAAAUUUAGUUGUAAUUUUACUUUUUCCCCUAAAAGUAUUUGAAGUUUUCAUUUUGGUCCCUUUAUUCCUUUUUUAUCUGGACCCUCCCUUUAGAUUCUCUUUCCCUCUCAGCCUGCCACGAGGCAGCGCCUCAAGCCUCUUUUUCUUCUUGUUUUCUCUUUCCCUUUCCCCGAGUUAACACUAUUCUCUCUCACACCUCUCUUACCCUCUCUCGGAUCUCCCUCCCCAAUCUACACCCACGCAUACCCGAGCCACCACGACGACGACACAGCACCACCACCACCCUCGUGGACCUCUCAUCCCUCUCCCUCAGUCUCAGAGGCACCUAGAGGGCACCCAAACCCAAGUCCGGCGAGGUCACGAACCUCGAGCUAGAAACUGGCCAUUUCCAGCCAUUUUACAGUGAACCUCAGGUAACAAUCUCUCCCCUCACCUUGCACUUUGUUUCCACACCUAGAUUGUAGGCUGAGAUGGUGUUUUGACGUUGACCGGAGCACGGGACGCUUCAACCUCCUUCCCCGACGAGGUAGUAUAUAUUCAUCUAUUCAUAUAUUUUCUUGUAUGCAUGCAUGCAUCAAUAUGCAGAGAAACUUAUGCAAGUUCUAUUUGAUAUAGAUAAAACCGCAUGCCCAUAAUUACAACGUCUAUGCACAAAUGCUAUCUCCAUAUAUAUAUAUAUAUAUUUCAUUCAUAUAUGCUAUUAUGUAUAAAUCACAAAGCAAUUGGCGUCCACUUUAUAUAUGCAUUUGUUUUGUUGCUUUAUAAUACCUCCCGACUUGCAUAUGAUAUAUAGUCAAAUCCAUUCCAACCCAAACUUAAUAUAAAUCAAACCAAUUGAAAAUCGGGAAUUGACACUAAGAUGUGCAUGUGUAGCUCCCCACAAUUUAAAUGUAUUGAGAUUCAUACAAGAAACAAUGCAUACACAUAGACUCUUUAAUGAAAAAUAGAAGAGUAUAUCUAGACUUACACUAAUUUAUUUAUGCAGCAAAUGAUGAUUCCAAACAGCUCACAUAAAUCACAAGUUGGCAUCUAUAUGGAUUUCGAGUUUAAUCAUGCCUUCACAAUAUAUAUAAAUAAACAAGCAUACUCGAAAUAGCAAAAGCCCUAAUUCAUUAUGCUCCAACUCAUCGCACUAUAAUCACACAUAUAGGAGAACAAUUAAUCAUGCAUGAAAUAGUGAACUGAGUUACCUGAAUGCAUCAUUGGACCUGUAUUCGUCAACCCGAAUGCAAUUCCUCGGCUCCAAAUCAACGAAACAAAUUAUCCAUCAAUGCUCGAGACCCAUCCAUGCGAAUUGCCAUCACUCCCAAUUCCCAUGGACCUCGUACCAUUGCAGAUUAUCGAAGUGAAUUGUCAUUGUUACAUACGCACCGAACCAAAAUCAUCGCCAAAGCAAUGGCCAAAAUCCCAUCAACACAAAUUCCCAGAAGAAAAAAAAAAAAAAGACAAACCAUGAACGUUAAUAUCUCUUAGACAAACAAAAACUUAUUAAUGUCAUCAAACCAAGAUUUCAUCUUUCUUUUAUCUUACUAAUAUUUGGUCUGUACAAGGCAUAUUUUAUGCACAUCUUUAUAAUCACAUUCAUUAAUUCAAAACGAUAAGACCCACAAAAAGCCACGGAUAAUUGAUAACAACAAACAUGUAAGAGCAACCAUACAAGCUCUAUAACAAACUAGCCAAGAACAUAAGAUUUAACCAGCUAAAUCACAAUCAUCACUCCAAAUAUAUUUUGUAUAUGCAAAUACUAAAGUUGUUUGAACCAUACUCGACCAAUCCCGAAACUACUGAGCACCGAUUAACGUUAUACCAUCAAGGACCCAGAAGAGUUUCCCUACAACCAGGAGGCCAAUCACAGCACGACACAUGUCGAUAUCAGAAGCCAAUCAUAGCACGACAUGUGUCAACAUCAGAAGCCAAUCACAACAUGACAUGUGUCAAUGUCAGAAUGAAACUAGAAACUCUCUUCUAUAAAUAGAGAUCAUUCUCUCACAAUAUUUCCGAAUGUCAUUUGUACUACAUCAUUCACUAGUACUCAUUAAAGGAGAGCUUGAACCUAUGUAGUUGUGCAACCCUUCACAAUUAAUGAGAACUCCUCUACUCUGUGGACGUAGCAAAUCUGGGUGAACCACGUACAUCUUGUGUUUGCUUCCCUGCCCCUAUUCAUUUACUUACUUAUCCACACUAGUGACCGGAGCAAUUUAGUGAAGAUCACAAACUUAACACUUUCUGUUGUACCAAAGUCCUCACUGAUUUUGUGCAUCAACAUUUGGCGCCGUCUAUGGGAAACGACACUUAUUCCCACUAUCUUCAGCUUUGUCAAGCUGGUUUCCACCAUUCAUACACUCUCUUUUGACCAUGCAUCCCUCUCCAACAUGGGGAGCGAAGGAAGCCACAGCACACAGAAUGACACCCCUCUUGCACCUAGUGCGAAGCAAUGAAAGAAGGAAGGAAAGAUGGUUACUCUUUAAGCUAAAGUCAAUGAGCUAGAAGCUCAAAACAACAAAAUAGCAAUGAAGAAUGAGGUCAUCCAGGAGCAGUAUGAGAAGCUCUUUGAGACACUCCACGAAACUAUGCGUAUUCAAACACGCGAGCUUGUUGCCCUUGUGGACAUCAACCAUCAUUUGGGUGCCCUUUAACACGGAGGGUCAUCUUCCUUCGACAUGGGUAUCCCUGAUGAGGAGCGAGCUAAUCAUAAAAACAUUGAUCAACAUGAGACUUCUCUCAACCUAGCUGCUUUGACCCGAAGUAGGAGAGUGGAGGAAGACACCUCCUUGCAAAAAGGUUGGAAGGAUCGAAAGCCGUUUAUUGUGACUGCUGAGAUUUCCUAAAGCAACGUCGAGAGAAUCCUCUCCACAUAUGCUCGAAGAUCAAUGACCCCAAGGGUUUCUGAAAGACUCGGUCCCCUCCCACGACCCAAGCCAGCUGCCAAUCUAGGGAAGGAACGACAUGUCCUAGAGGAACAUGAAGGUACAUGGGACUCUGAGGUAUUCCGACAGACUCGCCCUAGAAGUCAGUACGGCGAGUCUAAGGAAAAAUCACACGCCCUUGCUCAAACUUUCCUACUUCAAAGAGGCGAUGGAGACUUACGAAAGAAAAUCUCAGUGGUACAUGACUCCACUCAAGACCCCCUUGUCCUACAGCUCCUUGAGGAAGUAAACAAGUUGAAAGCCGAACGUUAGGCCGAGAUACCUGACUGGAACCAACCCAGGCCUGGCCUUCUCACGAGGAGGAUCCUUGACACCCCCCUUCAAGCGAAGAUAAAACAAAAGCAUGGUUUACAACUAUAUACUGGAAGGGAGGACCCAAUUGAACACCUUAACCUCUUUGAGUCCACCAUGGCAUAUCGGAUGCACACCGACGAAAAACGAUGUUUUCUCUUCCCCUCCACCCUCUUUGGCAGAGCUCUAAAUUGGUAUUGUCGUCUUCCACCUGAAACAAUAGACUCAUUUGAGGAACUAAGGAAACUGUUUGUCUCUCAACACAUCUUCCAGACCGAUCGCUUGCAUUCUGCAUAUGACCUGUACACUAUUUGCCAGAAAUCAAACGAGUCAUUACGAGAGUAUGCUGGUUGUUUCAGCCAUGAGUAUUCUCGCUGCGCUGAGGCAUAUGACAAGACCGCCCUCAAGGCCUUCACGGCAGGCCUAUGUGAUUGUUUCUUCAAGUACAUGAUCAAUGCCAACACUUGGAAGACUUACUCUGAGGUGAUGGCACAGGCUUACAACCAUGCCUCCGCCGAGGCAAGGACAUAUCAAGGGAAACCCCCCACAACCACCCAUUAUCAGCAAGUAGGGAAUGGAAGCCAGAUCCAACCAAAUAAGAAGACCUCGACCUUCCAAACGGCAGCGGUGCCUCCCCCUGCCUUACUUAAUACUUUACCAAGUCAACAGACAUAUCAAUCUCAGGGCAAAAGGAAAGAUUUCUAUCCUCACCAAGUAAAAUGAGUAAGGGACACUACCGUUAUAACCAAGGGUAUCGCCAUGAUAAUCCUCAACCCCAGGCAGUCAACAUAGUGGGUCAAGCACGUGUCAGGACAGUCCUUACCUCGAGGUAUGAGGCAUACACACCUUUGAACGCCACAUACGUAGCCAUUUACCCCAGCAUAGCACACUUGAUACAAAAGCCAAAGUCGAGGCACCCGGAUUACAAGCCCACGAAGAACACGGGCACGUUUUGCUGCUACCUCGAGCAUAAAGGCCAUGACAGCGAGAAGUGUAUCACCCUUCGUGAUCAUAUUGAAGCUUUGGCACGUGAAGGAAAAAUUGAUCAAUUCCUCUUUCACCUUCCAAUGGGUAACCGUAACCAACGCCAGGUAAAUGUGAUAUAUUCCAUAAGUGAUGGCACACCCAUAUCUAAAUCUUCCAACAAGGCCAUGAAAAAUAGUGAACGAGCUUUAAGGUCUGGCCACCAAGUGUUUCACGUGGAAGACAUCAGGGGAGGUAAGUAUCAAAAGCUUAACUGGGAUCCAAUAUGUUUCUACCCUGAGGAAGAAAGAGGUAUCAUCUACCCUCACAACGACCCACUGAUCGUUGAAGCUCACAUAGCUAACUUUGAAGUACGACGAAUCCUGGUAUACACGGGGGCUUCGGUUAAUAUCAUGUUUGCUGAAGCUUUCAAGGCACUUAAUGUAGCUGAACACUUGCUCGACCACUCGAUUUCCCCUUUGAUAAGCUUCUCUGGUGAUAUCGUGCAACCUUUGGGGAGCAUACACUUACCUUUCACCAUUGGAACAUGCCCUUACACAGCUACCAUUACCACUAACUUCCUGGUGGUUGAUUGCCCAACGGCAUACAAUGUCAUCUUCGGACACACAGACAUCAAUGAUCUCAAGGCCAUGGUAUCCACACAUAUGUUGUUGAUGAAAUUUCCAACCCCCUAUGGCAAUGGUUACAUCAGAGGAUAUCAACUUAGUGCACGAUCAUGUUACAACACUUCGGUCAAGCAACAGCACCUGCAUAUGCCCAAGGAAACCCUUUCUAUACAUGACCAAGUCAUAAAUACCAGGCUAGACGAAGCCAACUUGGAUCUUCACGGUGGCAAUAGUCAACCCGAAGAUCCUCGAGAUGACUCUUUCACCCAGCAAGCACAACCCGCUGAAGAGUUGGAGAAGAUCUAUAUCUCAAAAGAUUAUCUGGAUUGCAUGGUGAAGAUUGGCACCACCUUGUCACCAUCCAUUCGGUUGGCCUUGAUCUCGUUUUUGCAAGAGAACACUAAGGUCUUUGCCUGGUCAUACGAGGACAUGUCAGGCAUAUUUCCCGAUAUAAUCUGUCAUCGUUUAUGUAUUGACCCCAAGACCAAGCCAGUGAGAUAAAAGUGAAUAUCUUAUGACGCUGAACGGUACGAGGCAAUGAAGGCAGAAGUUGAAAAACUCAAAGGCAUAGGCUUCGUCCGUGAAGUCAAUUAUCCAACGUGGGUAGCAAAUGUUGUUCUUGUUAAAAAGAAUCCGACCAAGGAAAGUCUCCUGCUCCAAAAGGUCUUGUGAAGAAUGUGUGUCGAUUACACCAACCUAAACAAAGGAUGCCCGAAUGAUAGCUUUCCUCUUCCUCUCAUAGACAAACUUAUAGACUUUACGGCAGGGUGUGAACUCCUGAGCUUCAUGGAUGCUUACUCAGGAUACAACCAAAUCCUCAUGAACCCUCCGGACCAAGAACACACAGCCUUCACUACUGACAGAUGACUAUAUUGCUAUAAAGUCAUGCCCUUCGGCCUAAAGAAUGCAGGAGCGACUUAUCAGAGACUGGUCAAUUCAAUGUUCGUCGAACAGAUUGGGAAGAGCAUGGAAGUUUACGUUGAUGAUAUGCUAGUCAAGAGCAAACAUGCUGACUAACACAUCACCAACCUAUCUGAAACUUUCACCAUUCUGAAGAGGUAUCGAAUGAGGUUGAACCCCAACAAAUGUGCCUUCGGCGUAGGCUCUGGUAAAUUCUUAGGCUUCAUGAUAAGCCAACGAGGCAUUGAGACUAAUCCCGAGAAGAUCAAAAUAAUCCUCGACAUGAAGGAACCGGUAACUUCAAAAGACAUCCAGAGCCUUACUGGCAAAGUGGUAGCCUUAACUAGGUUCAUCUCUAAGGCCAUAGACAGAUGUGCUCCUUUCUUCAAAGCACUUAAGGAAAGUAAGAAGUACAUUACAUGGACUGAUGAAUGUGCUGAGGCAUUCAAGAACCUCAAAGACUACAUGAGUAAAGCCCAUCUGCUCUCCAAACCUGAGGUUGGUGACAUUCUCAUUAUCUAUCUAUCGGUAUCGGCUUCAGCAGUAAGUUCCGUUCUCAUUAGAAAUGAUGGUAAUGUCGAACGGCCUGUCUACUACGCUAGUAAGGCCUUACAAGAUGGGGAGACACGAUACUCCAAUAUUGAGAAAUUGGCUCUAGCAUUGGUCAUGUCUGCUCGAAAACUUCGCCCUUACUUCCAAGCACACUCCAUCAUCAUGCUUACCAAUCAUCAUCUUCGACAGAUACUCCAAAGUCCUGACACUUCCAGGCGAAUGGUCAAAUGGGCGAUAGCAGUAGGUGAGUUUAACAUCUCCUACCAACCAAAGCCAGCUGAGAAGGGCCAAGCAGUGGCAGACUUCAUCGCCGACUUCACAUAUCCUGUUGACAUUGUUUCUACGCCUAAAGAAGUGGUUUCUUUACCUUCGGAAGCUCAGAAAAUAGAACCAACAGCCCCAUCAUGGAGUCUAUAUGUUUAUGGUUCGUCCAACCAAUAGGGUUGUGGAGCAGGACUAGUCCUUACGACCCCUGACAAAGUGGUGAUGGAGUAUGCUCUUCAUUUCAAAUUCAAGGCGUCGAACAAUGAGGCCGAAUAUGAAGCCCUCCUAGCAGGCUUACGUUUGGCCAAACACCUUGGGGUUAAACGAAUUGAUAUCUUCAGUGACUCCCAAUUGGUGGUUAACCAGGUCACCAACAACUUCGACGCUAAGGAUAGCUCCAUGGCAGCCUAUCUGGCACAAACACAAUUGUUGCUCAAGUACUUCCACUAUCAGAUCACCCAAAUUCCUCGAGCGGCAAACAGUCAUGCAGAUGCUUUGGCUCGCCUCGCCUCAGCAGUGGAAGACAAGAUUGGGAGAAAAAUUCAGGUCGAAUUGUUGGCAGCACCAAGCACCAUGGCUGCGGAAGUGUGCAACUUACAACAGGGGGAUAGUUGGAUUACCCGAUUGAUAGAUUCCUUGCUUAUUGCACCCAUCUAAAUGACAAAGUCCAAGCUAAGCAGAUUCGAUACAAGGCUACCUGUUACUUGAUCAUUAAUAACCAACCCUACAAGCGGGGUUUUAACCUACCAUACCUAAGAUGCCUUACGCCUGCAGAGGCGGAAACUGUCAUUUGGGAAAUACAUGAAGGAGUCUGCGGAGAUCAUGCUGGAUCUCGAUCCCUAGCUCAUGUGAUAAGUGUCAACGCUACGCAACUAUUCCUCACUCCCUUCCCGAGCCGCUCACUCCUAUGAUUAGCCCUUGGUCCUUCGCCCAAUAGGGACUUGAUUUGAUCGGCCCAAUCCCUGCAGGGAAGGGCAAGGUUCGUUAUGCAAUCAUUGCAGUUGACUACUUCACAAAGUGGGCCGAAGUAGAACCCUUGGCAACCAUUACUGAGGCAAAAAUAGAAGACUUCGUAUGGAAGAACAUCCUUUGCAGAUUUGGCAUUCCCAAUGCAAUAGUCACUGACAAUGGGCGACAGUUCGACAACAAUAAGUUCAGGAUGUUCUGCUCUAAGUUCAACAUCAACUUAUGUUUUGCCUCAUCAGCUCAUCCCCAGUCUAAUGGACAAGUUGAAGCCAUCAACAAAAUAAUCAAGCGAACUUUGAAAACCAGCUUGGACAAGGCUAAAGGUUGUUGGCCAGAAUGUGUACCCCAAGUUCUUUGGUCAUAUCGCACUUCGUAUCGGACAUCAACAGGAAAAACCCCAUUCUCACUUGCCUUUGGUACAGAAGCAGUUGUCCCAGUUGAGCUUGAACAAGCAACGUUCUGAGUCUAGAACUACGUGCAAAGCGAAAAUGACAAACAACUUACCCUCAACUUAGAUCUAGUCGAGGAACACAGAAACCAGGCUCACUUGAGGAAUGUUGCCUACAAGCAGCGCAUCUCCAACUACUAUGACUCAAGGGUCAAACCUCGUUUUUUCAAAGUGGGGGACUAGGUAUUGAAGAAAAGAUUACUCUGCAACAAAGUCCCGAGUGAAGGAACACUUAGUCCAAACUGGGACGGACCGUUUGAAGUUGUUGGCAUCAGUCGCCCUGGCUCCUACAAGCUUAGAAGCUCCGAUGGCAAGACCAUUGGCCAUCCAUGGAACGCUGAUCACUUGAAGUACUAUUACAAGUAAACUCACAUUGUACAAGUGUUAAGCUUCAUCCGUUCGGCAUCCUAUGUAACGAAGACUAUUUGGCGUGAAUUCAAUAAAGAGGUGAUUUAGACAACUCGAUCCUUAUCCUCUUACAUUCCUAGCAAUGAAACACUCGGGUUCAAUGCUUCCAACAUGAAACAAAGUCCAAGUAUAUGUCAACAAGACUAUACAUAUAAACGAACAGCUUCACAGUAUAUUCGUUCAAUCAUACAUUCAAACACAUUCAUACAUAAACCAACUGUGCUUUGAAAGGGUUCAACAUAUUUUAUGUCAUUCGACACUUGCUACAAUGUGCCUAGACACCUUACCCUUAUUCUCACCAACCAAGUGAUGACAUGUGAAGAAUGAACUCAUCUUCAUGCCACCAACCAGGUGAUGAAAUGUACAACCCGUACUUUCCUUUAUGCUACCAACCAGGUGAUGACAUGUACAACCCGUACUCUAAUAUCAUUUGGUAACUUGUCAUUCAUGACACCGACCAGGUGAAGAAAGAACCCAUCUUCAUGCCACCAACCAGGUGAUGAAAUGUACAACCUGUUCUCUAAUAUCAUUUGGUAACUUGCCACUCAUGCCACCAACCAGGUGAAGAAGGAACUCAUCUUCAUACCACCAACCAGGUGAUGAAAUGUACAACCCGUUCUCUCCUUCAUGCCACCAACCAGGUGAUGAAAUGUACAACUCGUACUCUAAUAUCAUUUAGCAACUUGCCACUUAUGCCACCAACCAGGUGAAGAAGGAACUCAUCUUCAUGCCACCAACCAGGUGAUGAAAUGUACAACCUGUACUCUCCUUCAUGCCACCAACCAGGUGAUGAAAUGUACAACCCGUACUCUAAUAUCAUUUGGCAACUUGCCAUUCAUGCCACCAACCAGGGGAAGAAAGAACUCAUAUUCGUACCACCAACCAAGUGAUGAAAGCAACUCACCAUUCAUUCCACCUACCAGAAGACGAGUGGUACAACUUGUACAUGUGAACUCCUAGCAUUCACAAAUAAUCAAAAACCCUCAAGCUUGACAACUCAACUAGAGGAGCACUUAUGCCCAACAAGAGUUAUAGUCACCAACAAAGUCUUAUUACAAGCCAACAACAACUUCAGUGCAUGGCAUACGAAGAUCAAGCUAUUCAGCUCUCUUGCAUCUGCUUCAAACAUUUCCCUUCUGUAACAAUGCAAACACUACAACUCAUAGAAAGCUUCACACACUCUUGAUUAAGACAGUGUGAAGCAAAACCAAUUUAUGGUGCCAACAAGAGCUUCAUCAAAUGAGUUCAACCAUAAUUCUCAAAAGUUUCACACACUCUUGAUCAAGACAGUGUGAAGCAAAACAGAUUUAUGGUGCCAACAAAAGCUUCAUCAAAGGAGUUCAACCCCCACAAUUCUCAAAAGCUUCACACUAUCUUAAUCAAGAUAGUGUGAAGCAAAAUCAAUUCAUGGUACCCAACAAAAGCUUCAACUCCAAACCUUCACCCACAAAAGCUUCACCAAUAAAAGCUUCAUCAAUGGAGGACAACUACAAAUUCUCAAAAGCUUCACACUAUCUUGAUUAAGAUAGUGUGAAGCAAAAUCAAUUCAUGGUACCCAACAAAAGCUUCAACUCCAAAGCUUCACCUACAAAGCUUCAACACAAAAGCUUCACCAACAAAAGCUUCAUCAAUGGAGAACAACUACAAAUUCUCAAAAGCUUCACAUUAUCUUGAUCAAGAUAGUGUGAAGCAAAAUCAAUUCAUGGUACCCAACGAAAGCUUCAACUCCAAAGCUUCACCUACAAAGCUUCAACUUCAAAGCUUCACCUACAAAAGCUUCACCACAAAAGCUUCACCCACAAAAGCUUCAACACAAAAGCUUCACUAAUAAAAGCUUCAUCAAUGGAAGACAACUACAAAUUUUCAAAAGCUUCACACUAUCUUGAUCAAGAUAGUGUGAAGCAAAAUCAAUUCAUGGUACCCAACAAAAGCUUCAACUCCAAAGCUUCACCUACAAAGCUUUAACUCCAAAGCUUGACCCACAAAAGCUUGACCCACAAAAGCUUGACCUACAAAAGCUUCACCCACAAAAGCUUCACCCACAAAAGCUUCACCACAAAAGCUUGACCCACAAAAGCUUGACCCACAAAAGCUUCACCCACAAAAACUUGACCCACAAAAGCUUCACUUACAAAAGCUUGACCCACAAAAACUUCACCUACAAAAGCUUGACCCACAAAAGCUUCACCUACAAAAGCUUGACCCACAAAACUUCACCAACAAAAGCUUCACCUACAAAGCUUCAACACCAAAGCUUCACCUACAAAAGCUUCACACUAUCUUGAUCAAGAUAGUGUGAAGCAAAAUCAAUUCAUGGUGUCCAACAAAGCUUGACCCACAAAAGCUUGACCCAUAAAAGUUUGACCCACAAAAGCUUCACCUACAAAAGUUUGACCCACAAAAGCUUCACCUACAAAAUCUUGACCCACAAAAGCUUCACCUACAAAACUUCAACACAAAAGCUUCACCUACAAAAGCUUCACACUAUCUUGAUCAAGAUAGUGUGAAGCAAAAUCAAUUCAUGGUGCCCAACAAAGCUUCACCUACAAAGCUUCAACACCAAAGCUUUAACACCAAAGCUUCACCUACAAAGCUUUAAAAAAUAUAUAUAUAUAUAUAUAAAAAUUUCGGAAAUUUAAAAAUUCGAAAAUUCGAAAAAAAAUUUUGAAAAAAAAAAAAUUGCCUAGGCCUCAUCUUCUUUGGGCCUAACAACUUUCAUAACAAAUAUAUAUGAAGAAGGAGUUUUGGGCUACCACUUAGAAAGGAAAUGCCUCAUUCGUCAACUCCCUCUACCGGAGACUUGGGGGACUCCUACCAUAUGCUACUGCACCUUGAUACUCGGAAGUCUCAAGACCACUCAGUGACUUGGAUUUUUCAAUUCUCUAAACGAGAAGUUUUCCUCACUCGGGAAAUUAAGGGAGCACUACCUCAACCUACAUGCUUCACUCACAAAGCUUCAACAUACAAGCUUCAACAAAAGGAAAAAUUCAAAGAACUUAGUGAAGAAGACCUUGGUGUAUUUAACACAAUACGUUGAAAUGAAGCAAAGCUUGUUUAUUGAUAUUUCCGACAAGUUACAAAUAUGUACAUAUACAUGAAUCAAAAUAAACAAACAAGAGGGAGCCUUCACAAAGGUUGCUCAGGAGAAGUCCCAGCAGUAGGCAGAGCCCUAGAAAGAGGAAGCACCAAAGGGUGAUUAUUUGGAGCUUCAGUACUAGGCAGAACCCUAGAAGAAUGAGGCACCGAAGGUUGAUCAUUUGGAGCUUCAUUACGCGGUACAGCCCCAGAAGACAAAGGCAAUAAAUACCUUUGGAACAAACCCACAAACCUCUGAUGAUCAAGUAAAAUCUGACAAUCAGAUUCCUGCAGCUGGUCGAGCUUCCUCUUCAUGUUUGUAGCAUAGUCAUGUGCGAGCCUGUGCAACUGUUUAUUCUCAUGCUUGAGCCCUCUGAUCUCCUGUUUGAGACUUAUCACUUCAGCCGCCAAUGAUUCAACUUGGCGGGUUUGAGCAAAUAGGCGUUGGGGCAUAUUAGACACAGAACCUGCACACUGAACACUGAGAGCCAGAGAAUCCUUAACAGCCAACUCAUCAGACCGUUUGGAAAGUAGUCUGUUAUUGAUGUGAUGAAAGUUAAGCACUCAAAUUAAACCCUCUUGUUGUCAAAUUGUAGUAUAAAUGCAAGUAGGGAUCGUUCUAAACCGGGGAUUAUGAGGGCUUGCUAAAACCUCUAAACUUACUCAAAAACAUAAAAACAAAGUUAAAAACGUUUGAAUAGACUCAAGGGACUCAAAACAGAUUCUAAAGACUCAAAACUGCCUAAAAACACAAACUGGGCAUAUUUGACUCUAAAACAAUUUUGGACGAAUUUAGUGUUUUGGUUUGAAUCAAAACACUCAAAAACACAAAAAAAAAAAACUGAAAUUUAACAUUUUGAAACAAGAAAGUAAAAUGGGGAUUUUGGUUUUGAUGAAUUUGAAACAAACAAACAAGUUAUAAAACUAGGCAGAUUGUAAGACAAAUUUGAGGAAUACGAUGAUGGAUGGAUUAGUUAGUGGUCCGUUCUUCACACAUGACACACUUGUACAUGAAUCGAUUUCCAAUUGCUUUUCAAUAAACUAUGAUGCUCAACACCCCAGAUUAACCGUGAUGCACAAAUUAACCCUCAGAUUUUCCUUUACUCAUUGAAUUGGAUGAAUGCAUGCGAUAACCCAAAUCAUUCUCUAAAAGUCCCCUAUAUGAAUGCAUAAUAGAGAUACAAUCAGAGAUCAUUACGUUCAAUGAAAAUCAUAAGUGUUGACGAGGCAAUUAUAACUAUGAAUGCAUGAUACAAUUGCCAAGAAUUCAAUUAACGCGAUUAUGAUAAACAACCUUCACUACUCAUGAAUAUAAACUUGUAACGAUUAGGUGAAACUCAUUUAUAUUCUAGCAUCUAAUUCAUGCAUGAAAACUAAGUAUGCAUCCUUAAUAAACAUACAAGAAUCAAUUAUGAAUAAAAUAGAUAAUUGAAUUACAAUCACAACUUAUCAAAUCACAAUUGGAAAAAAUCAAUUCAAAUCUCAAGCAUGUUCAUGGCUUCAAACUUCCCCCUAACUAAAUAGGGGUUUAGCCACUCAUAAUUGCAACAAAAUUAGAAAAUAACAAAGUAGACAUUGAAAGCAAGAACAAAGUACACCUAAAACGCUCCAAAGUUCCAAGCUUGAAAUGCCAAGGACCUUUGUUUUCACCACCUUGUUGUAGCACAAGUGUCUAGGAUGUGUAUGGAUAUAUGGAUGGAAUGGAUUUGCACGGCUAAGAGAUGAAAGUGUAUGAAUUGGUAAGAUGUAGUAUGGUAGAUGAAUGGAUGGAGGUCACGGCAAGGAAAUUGUGUUUGUGAAUGAAGUUGUGAGAUGUGAAAUGUAGUGUCUUUGGAUGAUGGCCCCCAAAUUAUGGUGAAGGGUGGAUGUAUUUAUAGGCUAGGGAGAGGAGUGUAUGAAGUUGUAAUGAGUGGAUGUAAUGGGUGUAGUGGGUGAAUGUUUGAUAAUGAGUGGAUGUAAUGGGUGUAGUGGGUGGAUGUUUGGUAAUGAGUGGAUGUAAUGAGUGUAGUGGGUAGAUGUUUGGUAAUGAGUGGAUGUAAUGGGUGUAGUGGAUGAGUGUUUGGUAAUGAGUGGAUGUAAUGAGUGUAGUGGGUGGAUGUUUGGUAAUGAGUGUAGUGGGUAGAUGUUUGGUAAUGAGUGGAUGUAAUGGGUGUAGUGGAUGAGUGUUUGGUAAUGAGUGGAUGUAAUGAGUGUAGUGGGUGGAUGUAAUGGGUGUAGUGGAUAAGUGUUUGGUAAUGAGUGGAUGUAAUGGGUGUAGUGGAUAGAUGUUGGGAGAAUGGAUGUGUUGGGUGAAAUGAGUGGAUGUAGUGGUAGGUGAAUGUGUUGGGUGAAAUGAGUGGAUGUAGUGGUAGGUGAAUGGAUGUGUUGGGUGAAAUGAGUGUGCUAAAAUGGUUAUUUAUAGGGAGAGGAUGAUGCACAAACUUCAAAUUUCGUCCAUUCCUUUUGCUCCAAGCAUAUGCCAUUCAUUCCAUGCCCAAAAAUGCUCCAAAAUGCUCCAAAAUGUACUUCUUUGCCACAUUAACCCUUUGGACCUACAAACACAUGAAAAUAGCUUAAAAUACUAAAAUAACUACGAACUAACAACAUAAAUUCCAAGAAACAAGCUAACUAAGUCGCAUAAAUAUGCUCCUAUCAGUUAUCUUUGGGAGUGAGAAUGUUCCUAGCCAUCACCGCAGUGGUCAUAUCAUUCUUCAUCAUAGAGUCCCCAACGGUAAGAGGACUAGUAGGAGAUAAGAAGGAUGGGCGCCAUAUAUUGUCCUAGGAAGGCAUUGCUGCCUUUUCACCAAAGUUCAAGUCAAAACGACGGUCGGAUGGGCCAGACAUUCUCAGAAAUGAUAAAGGAGAAAUGAGGUACAAUAAAUCUCUAAACUAAGGGGAGAAUUCCUACAAGCAAUAAUUCUCUGAAUGUACUUCUUGCACAUAAUUGGUGCCUUUAUAAAAGAAAGGGCAACAGGGCCGUUGGUUCAAAAAUCGAAGAGGCACCACUCUUCGGAUUUUGAAGAGGCACCACUUUCCACACGCAACAUCAGCUCAUCGGGUACCGCAGAUAACUUUGCCAAAGAUCUCUGACAAAGUUUAGACACAUAAAUUUUGAAGAUCCAGCUACCCUACUAUUACCCAUAAGGGUAAAGGAACAUCACCACUGCUUGAUAACUAGAAAGUGUCAAUGUGUGUCAACCUCCGUGCUCCGUGGCAAGGCAGACUGGCAAAAAUGCCUAACCUUUACUCACAUUCGAGAAAACACUCCCAACAAGAUUGCUUGCUCAAAAAUUGAAGAGGCACCACUCUCCAAAUCUCGAAAACCAGACUCCCAACAGGAUUACUUUCUCAAAAAUCGAAGAGACAUUGCUCUCCGAAUCUCAAGAGUCAGACUCCCAACAUGAUUGCUUUCUCAAAAAUCGAAGAGGCACCAUUCUCUGAAUCUCGAGAGCCAGAUCCCCGACAGGAUUGCUUGUUCAAAAAUUGAAGAGGCACUGCUCUCCGAACUUCGAGAGCCAGAUUUUCUUGGAUAAAGCUUGUCUGCAAUCUUCACACGCAACAUUAGCUUUCCAGAUACUACAGACCACUUUUUCAAAGCGCUCUGACAAAGUUAAAACAUGUGAAGCUUGCAGCUCCCACUACAUUGCUAUGACUAAGAAGGGUAAAGGAAUAACAUUAUUACUUACUCAAAAAAUGAAGAGGCACCGCCCUCCGAAUCUUGAGAGCCAGACUCCCAAUAGGAUUACUUUCUCAAAAAUCGAAGAGGCACCGCUCUCUGAAUCUCAAGAGCCAGACUCCCAACAGAAUUGCUUUCUCAAAAAUCGAAGAGGCACCGCUCUCUGAAUCUCGAGAGCCAGAUCCCCGACAGGAUUGCUUGUUCGAAAACCAAAGAGGCAUCGCUCUCUGAACUUCGAGAGCCAGAUUUCCUUGGAUAAAGCUUGUCUGUAAUCUUCACACGCAACAUCAGCUUUCCAGAUACCACAUACCACUUUUUCAAAGUGCUUUGACAAAGUUAAAACACGUGAAGCUUGCAGCUCCCAUUACAUUGCUAUGACCAAGAAGGGUAAAGGAAUAGCAUUACUACUUGUUGUUAAGGAGACUCCUAUAUAUGUCGACCUCCAUCCUCCACGGACAGGCAGACCUGCAAAAAUGCUCAACCCUUCCUCAUAUCUAAGAGGGCACUCCCAACGAAGCCUUUCGAAAUACUCAGCUUUCUUCCCCCUAAUAAUACCUAUGCAAACCAGCCAUACCAGAGCAAGAGUAUCUCAUAUCAUCAGGGUAAAAAACAAGAGUAUCCCAUAUCAUGCUUUUUCCCUAUCUUUUCCUUUACCCUUAUUCUUACCUGCAAGACAAGGAGAAAGAGAGCAAUCAAUCAGCACUUAGAAUCAAGUUUCCAGUCAAUAACUGACUACCUGGAACCUCUUGCCUGAUUACUUACUUGGCACUGCUCUCGAGUACUCGUCUUCAACAUCUUAUGCUUCCAAAAAAGAUACCACAUCUGCCUGAGGAACAGAUAGGGCAAGUAAGAAGGAUACAAGGAAGCAUGUGAAGAUAAGUGCAACAGAACACAUGAUGAUUCAUCUAUUACUUCGUCAACAGCAAAAGUAUCCCAUAUCAUCAAGGUCGAACGCACUCUUGAUUUGAUGGACUUAUUUUGACCCUCAAAUUCUUGAGUCGGCCUUAUACUCUGGAGGAAACCAGAAAACACUCCAGCCAAGUUUAAGAAUAAGCUUGUGGAAAGUUACUUCUUCAAAAGCAAAAGUAUCUUAUAUCAUCUCUUCUCCAUUUGCUUCUCCUUAUCCUUGUUGCUGUUUAUGACACAAGGAGAAUGAGAACAAUCAACCGAAAGCCAAAGCCGAACCUCCGAUCCAGGUUGCUUGCUUGGAAGUCUGAUUACUUACCUUGUCUCUUACCUCUUUCGGCAAAUCUCCUAGCUCGGCGACUUGGGGGACUCCUACUAUAUGGUUUUGUAUCGCACUUGACCAAGCCUGAAACUACAAGUAAGCUUCAAGUGAAAUUGAUACAUUACCUUGUGCAUCUUCAUUGAUUAAAGAUACCACCCCUGGAUGGAGGAAAAGUACUUCCAGAGAACAUGCCACAUCUACGUAUGAGACAGAUAAGGUAAGUGAAAAUGAUACCACACUUCGGUACUUAGAAGUUUUGUGAUUACUCAAUGGCUUGGAUCUUGCAAGUCCCCAACCGAGGAGCUUCCCUCACUCAGGAACUUAGGGGAGCACUGUUUGUACCAUACUUGACCAAUCCCGAAACUACUGAGCACUGGUCAACGUUAUACCGUCAAGGACCCAGAAGAGUUUCCCUACAACCAGGAGGCCAAUCACAGCGCGUCAUGUGUCGACAUCCGAAGCCAAUCAUAGCGCGACACGUGUCAACAUAAAAAGCCAAUCACAACACGACACGUGUCAAUGUCAGAAUGAAACUAGAAACUCUCUUCUAUAAAUAGAGAUCAUUCUCUCACAAUAUUUUCGAAUGUCAUUUGUACUACAUCAUUCACUAGUACUCACUAAAUGAGAGCUUGAACCUAUGUACUUGUGUAACCCUUCACAAUUAAUGAGAACUCCUCUACUCCGUGGAUGUAGCCAAUUUGGGUGAACCACGUACAUCUUGUGUUUGCUUCCCUGCCCCUAUCCAUUUACUUACUUAUCCACACUAGGGACCGGAGCAAUCUAGCGAAGGUCACAAACUUAACACUUUCUGUUGUACCAAAGUCCUCACUGAUUUUGUGCAUCAACAGAAGUAAUUUCUGCAACACAUACCUGCAGACUGUUUGACGAAGUCUUUCCCAUGUGUGUAUGCCAUUAGGUCAUGAAUAAGUUCAACUCACAUUCCCAACAGUCUUCUGGAUAGUUGCAACCCGCUAGAAUGCCCUCUCAGAUUCCAAAGCCUGAACUCUAAGCUUCAAAUCACCUUGCUCUAAUCUUUGUAUAAUUUCAGCAAGCUUUUUAACUCUGUCAGCAUGUUAAUGGAUGAAGAAGCCAUGGACGAAUCUACACACAACCUUCUCCUCUCUGUAAAACUCAAUGCUCUCCAAGCUAUAGGUAAUUGGAACAAUAAGAGCGUAUUUUUGUGAGAGCAGGGGCUUGUAGUUUUUAUGCUACAAAAUCUGGAUUACCCUAUAAUAAUCCCACAAGGAAUACAAGACAAAAUCGUUGUACGAGUUCUAUUCUUAAGCUUAUCAACAUAGAGUUUCAAUCCAAACCAAAGUCGAAUUAACUCUCAUAAACAUAUUAAGACUUCUUUAUAGCAAUAUGAGACAACAAGGAUUAUUACAAAACCGUAUGAAUCACACUCAUAUUCUAACAUCAACUACAUAAAUUAGUGUUCUCUUGUAUAUCUAUCACUCCGAUUGAUUUUUAGUUGUGAAAUUUCUUUGGUGCCCAGUAGCAGAAGUAAAUCGUAUAUUUCUCUAAAAUAAUAUUGAGUUUGAAAUGUUUUUCUAGCGUUGAUCAUUGGAUUAUUUCAACCGAAUGCCUUGUUGCCCUUGAGACUUUGAUGCAUUACUUUGAAUGAUUGAAAUAAAAGUAUUGGUUUUCUUUUAUGAUUGAUGUCGUCCCCUCUUGUUGUUUACUAUUUUUUGCAGUUGUGUGGCACUUUGUUGCUGCGGCCUGUUGGAGAACUGCUGCUGGUAGGCAUGUCUAUAUAUAUAUAAUUGUGCUUCUGAAGCCAAACAUGAAACACCUGCAGCUUCUCUGUAUGAGAGAUUCAGUUUCACUCCAAUUCCAUGAAUUUGUAUGUUAAACUUUUUGUUGUUAAACGUUCAACCUCAAUAAUAUUUCAAGAAGUACAUUCAGUUAUUGCUUAACAUUUUUUUUGUAUAUUGGUAAGGAAUUGUUAAUUGAACUUGGAGGGUAUUUAAAUUGGGGGAAAAGGAAGGGCAUUGCAAACUCCCACAGCCCCAGAGAGUAGCUGACGGACUAAACAAUGACAACAUACUUGAGAAGUUUGUGUAUCUUCUAUGCUUGUUGGAAAGCCCUUCAAGUUAGCCCAAGCGACAAGGGAGAUGGACAAAUGUGGAAGAUUAAAAUAAGUUUAGGAUUUGAUUCCAUUCCUGACUUGUUUACUUAUCUUUUAUGAGAACGAAAUGAGAAUGAUUAGAGAAUAAUCGGUUGGGUUCUUUUAGUCAAAAUAGUUUCUGAGAUUGAUAUGACUUCUUACUAUGGUUUUUGAGAUCUAUAAUCAAUAGAAAUGGUCGCCUAGUUUUGUCCGUUGUCAAUUUGGUCAUUCCACGAAAAAAUUUCGUUAAAUAAGGAUCAAAAUACAAAUAAACAUUCAUUUUUUGUCAAAUUAUUUCGGCACAUUGUUUAUCAAAUUGAGUGUUUUUGUCAUUUUGGUCCUUAUUUAACCAACAUUUUUCACAGAAAGACCACAUCACUUGAGUUUCUAAUCUCAAGAAUCAAGGUGAAUAGUUAUACCAAUUACAGAUACCAUUUUAGUUAAAAACGCCUAAUUCGUUGUUCAAGCAGGGAAUAAACAAUCCUUGUAAAUUAGUAAGACAUAUGACUGAAACCUUGCAUGUCCAUUCGCAUGGGACGGACGAUCAAAAGAGAAUUAGGUCAGACUGGUUAGCAUAUGAGCUGAUUGGGUUUAGGCACCAUUAAAGUGUGGCGGGGCUUUUAACCAUUCUUGCUGGUCUGGAUUUUAAUGGUGUGGCUGUAGCAAUGGAAUGGUAAACAAGUUUUGAAGGUACGGCAGUAAAAGCUUGGGUUGUGUCAUGUGUGGCUGAAUUAGGAAAGGGAAUGGUUCGAUUAGUAAUUUGGUUAAACAUGUGUCCGCUUAAACCUUCUUUCUACGCGUUAGACAAGAAUAAUGUUAGGACACCAAUCAAAUUUACAAAUCAAAUGAUGUGUCACUAAUGAAAAAUAAGUACAUUAAUCGACAUUUAAAUAAUAAUUCAAUCAUCAAUUUACUGGUGAAGACAUAUCUUAUGCUCAUUAUUUGUAGUCUAGAAUGUAUAAUAGCUACUUUAAGCUUCCCUCCCACAAGCUAUGGACGGCCUAAAUAAACAAACUGCCUGCAUAAUACUAAUGAUAUAAGGCUUUUUAUAUUAGCACCCCAUAAAAUGUUGAAUGCACCCCACAUUAAAAUUUAAUAUUAAAUAACUUAUUUACCUCAUGAUGCAAUGACAAUUUUGACCUUAUUAAGUUUUAUAAAAAAAAUAAAAAUUUCUAAAUACACCCCAAAUCACUUUUAACGUGGUGAAUGCCGAGCUCUUCGAGAGCUAGUCAACUUGGUACAGUUCAUACUUUGAUCUCCGAUAACUAGAUCAUCUAUUCUUAUACCGGACACUAAUACUGGGUUACACCUGUUGCUUAUGCAGACGCUAAUACUUGGCAAUAGAGAUGACUUUGAAUAAAUGUCAAAUAGUAGCUCGGUUGUUCUUACAACCGUGCUCAAGCUCAUUGACAAGUAUGAUUUGUAUGGACAAGUGGCCUAUCCUAAGCAUCACAAGCAAUUAGAUGCACCUGACAUAUAUCGUCUAGCUACAAAAACAAAGGUACAUACAUACUGUAUGAUACAGGCUUCAAUUAUGUCUUUAAAAAUGAGCCAUGGUUGGCUUCACAAGGUCAUUUUCAACACUUAAAUUUCUAAGAGUAAUAAUUUACGGGGAUUUCUAUUGAAUGGAGUUUUCAUCAACCCAGCUCUCAUGGAACCUUCACAAUGAAGCCAUUGCUGAUGAUUUGAAAUCUUUCGGCAAACUAAACUUCAAAUUGUUAGAUUCAAUCUCUGAAAAUUAAAAAUGAGUGUUAUAAGAUUUGAGAAAUGUGGGAUGUAUAGAAAAUGUGGGGUGUAUGUACAAAAUAUAAGGUGUAAAUUGAGAAUGUAAGGUGUGGGGGUAUUAUGGGAAAGUACGUGAGGUGUAUUAAGAUAAUUUUUAAAUGAAAAAGAAAAUGUAGGGUGUAUUAAGUAUGUGGAGUUUAUUCAACAAUUUGUGGGGUGUUAAUAUAAUAAGCCAUGUUAUAAUAUAAAAAAAAUGAAAAAAAAAUCGUAAUUAUUAAAUGAUACUAUGGAAGCCAAACCCCGCACAUCAGUGCAAUGAAAAAUUAUUAUUGAGACUUAGAAAAACUAUUAUUUUAGAGGUUAUUAUUGUCGAAAAAUGAAUAAUUUAUGAAUUUAUUGAUAAAUAGGUGCUUGUUAAUUUAUAAAAAAAAAUAUUAUGAUUUGCUCAUUUUUGUGUUUUUUUUUUCCUGAUAAAGAUACAUGUAUCUUGUAGGGUUUAUAAACUUUUAAAAUAAUUUAAGAACAAGACAAGGUCUCAUUUGAAAGGAAUAAAGAAAUCUGCAUGGAGUGAUGAGAUAAAAGAGAGCAUUUGUGCGAGUAUAAAAAUGAGGAUCUCUCUUCUACUUAAAAGAUUUGCAAACAAUUGGUUCAACAAAAGUAUCAGUUGAUUUAUGUCAACCAAUCAACACUAUCAAACACACUGUAUUUGUCGGAUGAGAUGAAAAAUAGCAUUGUUAAGAGGCACAAACCAGCGAAAUAUUCCAGAGUAAGGAAAAGUAUUGUAUGAAUGGUUUCUCCAAUUUCACCUUUAUAAUAAACACUUUGAUCUCUAAUAAUCCAUUGUCUUUUGAUAAAAUUGAAAAUUGAAAAUGAAAUUGCGAAACUAAUUAAGAAGAUUUUGUGUGGAGAACUGCAUGAUUUUCGCCCUUUUGACCUCGAAAUUUAUUUUUCAUUUUUUUAAAAAAAUAGAAAUUCAGAUAAUUAUCUCAUAUAAUACAUAUAGCAUUACUUAAUCUAUAAGCGUCGCGAUGGCUGAUAAGGUAAUAUUUUCAACCACCGUGUGACAAUUCAUCAUUUGAGCUUUUCCAUUUUUGGUGCGAAAUUCCUUUGUAGAAAUGCUUUUUCCUUUAUCGUAUUUAUUUUUGAAAUUCAAUAAAUCUGAAAAGGAAAAUAUAAAGCAGCAAAAUUACAAAUGAAAACCCAGAAUCGAUGAAAACCCUGCCGAAAAACGUGGCGUGCAAGUAACGGCCUCCUUUAAAUUCGGCGUGUCGGGUCUCUUCCGUUGUACACCACACACACUCACCUCAGCGACUCGGUCGAUCGGCGAUUUUUCACAGAUCUCUCAGCCAUGGCUCCCUCGACUCUUCUCGGCCCUCCAGAGUUCAGCAAACCUGCACAGACCACCCCACCGUCUCAACCCGAACCCAAAUGCGAGCCCAAACCCGCAACUGGCGAACCCUUCGUCGACCUUAUGGUCUCCAGUUUCAACAACAUAUCGAUGGAAAAGAAGCCCCCGAUGGGCUUGACGGAGAACAACUCCGCCACCUACCUCUCCACCGGCAACCCCUGCCUCGAUCUCUUUUUCCACGUGGUGCCGGACACCCCCGCCGAUUACCUGAACGAGCAGCUCCCGCUGGCCUGGGCCCAUAACGCGCUGACCACGCUCAAGUUGAUUUGCAACCUCCGAGGCGUGCGCGGGACGGGGAAGUCCGACAAGGAGAACUUCCACACGGCGGCGUUUUGGCUCCACGAGCACCACCCCAAAACCCUCGCGUGCAAUUUGCAAACGUUUGCGGAGUUCGGCUAUUUCAAGGACCUACCGGAGAUUCUCUACCGGCUUCUGGAAGGCGAGGACGUGCGGAGGAACCAGAGGGAGGAGUGGAAGAACCGAAAAUCCAGCGGUGGCAAGAAAAGGUGGAAUUCGGGUCGGGAUCUCGGACCCGAACAACCGAUCCCGUUCAAAAAAAUCGGGGCGGAAAGAGAGAAGAAGGCCGGCAAAAAGAAGGAGAUGACGGAAGAAGAAAAGGAAGCGAAGGAAGCGAAGGCGAGGGAGUGGGAAAAGUCGGAAAAGGAAAAGGCGAGCAGGCUGAGGAAGGAGAAGAAGAUCGCCAUGGCCAAGAAGGCGGUGGCCCGGUACGAGCACGAUGCGGAUUUCCGGUUCCUGCAUGAGCGGGUUUCGGAUAUCUUUGCCGAGUUCUUGAAGGCCGAUAUGGAGAAUUUGAAGUCGAAUCAGAGCAACAAGAUCAGCCUCGCGGCAAAGUGGUGCCCUUCGAUCGACUCCUCGUUCGAUCAGGCCACUCUGAUCUGCGAGAGCAUCGCGAGGAAGGUGUUCCCGCGCGAAUCGUACAAGGAAUACGACGGCGUUGAAGAAGCCCAUUACGCGUACAAAGUGAGGGACCGGCUGAGGAAGGAAGUGCUGGUGCCGCUGAGGAAGGUUCUUGAGCUGCCGGAGGUGUACAUUGGGGUCAACCAGUGGGGUUCGAUUCCGUACAACAGGGUGGCUUCCGUGGCGAUGAAGAAUUACAAGGAGUUCUUCUUGAAGCACGACGAGGAGAGGUUCAAAAAGUACUUGGAGGACGUGAAGGCGGGCAAGGCGAAGAUUGCUGCCGGAGCUCUGCUGCCCCAUGAGAUUAUUGGGUCUCUGGAGGACGGCGAUGUUGGGCAGGUGGCGGAGCUUCAGUGGAAGAGGAUGGUGGAGGAUAUGUUGAAGUUGGGGAAGAUGAAGAACUGCUUGGCUGUGUGUGACGUGUCUAUGAGCAUGUCAGGGACUCCAAUGGAGGUGUCGGUGGCGUUGGGGCUGCUGGUGUCCGAGCUGAGUGAGGACCCGUGGAAAGGGCUGGUGAUCACUUUCAGUGAGAAUCCUCAGCUGCAUUUGGUGAAAGGGGACGAUCUGAUGACCAAGUGCCAGUUUGUGAGGAGGAUGGAUUGGGGUGGGAACACUGAUUUCCAGAAGGUGUUUGAUUUGCUGCUGAAAGUUGCGGUGAAAGGGAAAUUGAAACCGGAGAAUAUGAUAAAGAGGAUUUUUGUGUUUAGUGACAUGGAGUUUGAUCAGGCUUCGGCCAACUGCUGGGAGACGGAUUAUGAGGUGAUACAAAACAAAUAUAGGAAGAGCGGGUAUGGGGAUGCGAUCCCGCAGCUGGUGUUUUGGAAUCUGAGGGACUCGAGGUCUACACCGGUGCCUGGGAAUCAGCCUGGGGUGGCUUUGCUGAGUGGCUUCUCUAAGAAUCUGCUGAAGCUGUUCAUGGACAAUGAUGGGGACCUUCAACCGGAUGUUUUCAUGGAAUUAGCCAUCUCGGGAGAAGAGUAUCAGAAGCUAGUUGUGCACGAUUGAGUGAUCAAGUGACGACGAGUUGAGUUUUGCAUGUUAAUAAGAGUGAGAACAUAAUGUGAUGCAGCGCAGGUAGCGUCUGUUUUGUUGCAGAGUUUUGCACAAGGAUAAAGGGUGAAAUGAAAAAUGAAAUCAUAUGUUUUUGGUAAAGUUAUAUAUCGGGUUCUAUGUUCAUUUCUGCAAUUUAGAAGAUGUUAUAGUCACUGUCUAGGUUGCACAAACGCUCCAAAACCCCCAAGUGUCGAACACAGUCAAUGGUUUGAACACGGUCAUGACACGGUUUGGACACAAUAACCAAAGAGAAAUAGAAACCUUAGCCAGCAUCUAUUUUCAACUUAUGCAAUUCAAAAGAGGGUCUGGCUGAAAUUAUGAGAUUGUUUUUAUGGAAUUAUAUGUCUGUGGAGAGGAAUAUGAAAAGCUUGCGCAUGAUUGAUUGAUGAACUGAUGACAUGAAAAUAAGAUCAUAUGUUUUCGGUGGAUGUUACUCUUCGCUGAAGUUCGGUCUGUUUCGA